rnacentral:pre_miRNA from 1 species
UCUUAUGAUGAGCAAAGAAAGUGGUUUCUUGAGAUGGAAACUACUCUUGGUGAAGAUGAUGUGAA